rnacentral:rRNA from 1 species
GAGUAACACGUAGGUGAUCUACCCCAGAGACGGGGAUAACGGGUGGAAACAUCCGCUAAUACCGGAUAGACUUGUUCGGUCAAAGGGACAAGGAAAGGCUCCGGCGCUUUGGGAGGAGCCUGCGGCCCAUCAGCUAGUUGGCGGGGUAACGGCCCACCAAGGCAAAGACGGGUAGGGGGUGUGAGAGCAUGGCCCCCCACAAUGGGACUGGAACACGGCCCAUACUCCUACGGGAGGCAGCAGCAGGGAAUAUUGCACAAUGGACGGAAGUCUGAUGCAGCGACGCCGCGUGGAUGAAGAAGGCCCUCGGGUUGUAAAAUCCUUUACAGGGGGAAGAGGAAGGACGGUACCCCUGGAACAAGUGUCGGCUAACUACGUGCCAGCAGCCGCGGUAAGACGUAGGACACAAGCGUUAUCCGGAUUUACUGGGCGCAAAGCGUCUGCAGGCGGACAGGUAAGUUGGGCGUGAAAGCUCCGGGCCCAACCCGGAGAGGUCGUUCAAUACUGCGUGUCUAGAGGGUGUCAGAGGGGAGUGGAAUUUCCGGAGUAGCGGUAAAAUGCGCAGAGAUCGGAAAGAACACCAAUGGCGAAGGCAGCUCCCUGGGGCAACCCUGACGCUAAGAGACGAAAGCUAGGGGAGCGAACAGGAUUAGAGACCCUGGUAGUCCUAGCCCUAAACGAUGGAUGCUGGAUGUGGGGCCAUAGCGCUCCGUGUCGAAGCGAACGCGUUAAGCAUCCCGCCUGGGGACUACGGCCGCAAGGUUAAAACUCAAACGAAUUGACGGGACCCCGCACAAGCAGCGGAGCGUGUGGUUUAAUUCGAUGCUACACGAAGAACCUUACCUGGGUUUGACAUCUAGGUGGUAGUGAAGCGAAAGCGGAGCGACCCUUCGGGGAGCCUAGACAGGUGCUGCAUGGCUGUCGUCAGCUCGUGCCGUGAGGUGUCGGGUUAAGUCCCGUAACGAGCGCAACCCUUGCCCUCCGUUAUACGUGUCAGAGGGGACUGCCGGCGGUAAGCCGGAGGAAGGUGGGGACGACGUCAAGUCAGCAUGGCUUUUAUAUCCAGGGCUACACACUCGCUUCAAUGGGCAGUACAUAAGGGCAGGGAAGCCUCGAGGUGGAG